GACGAACGCUGGCGGCGUGCUUAACACAUGCCAGUCGAACGGAAAGGCCCUGCUUGCAGGGUACUCGAGUGGCGAACGGGUGAGUAACACGUGGGUGAUCUGCCCUCCACUUCGGGAUAAGCCUGGUAAACUGGGUCUAAUACCGGAUAGGAGCCAUUUUUAGUGUGAUGGUUGGAAAGUUUUUUCGGUGUAGGAUGAGCUCUCGGCCUAUCAGCUUGUUGGUGGGGUAAUGGCCUACCAAGGCGGCGACGGGUAGCCGGCCUGUGAGGGUGGACGGCCACAGUGGGACUGAGAGAAGGCCCAGACUCCUACGGGAGGCAGCAGGGGGGAAUAUUGACCAAUGGGCGCAAGCCUGGUGCAGCGACGCCGCGUGGGGGAUGACGGCCUUAGGGUUGUAAAACCCUUUCGCUAGGGACGAAGCUUUUUGUGACGGUACCUAGAUAAGAAGCACCGGCUAACUACGUG
rnacentral:rRNA from 1 species